rnacentral:rRNA from 1 species
UGGGGAAUAUUGCACAAUGGGCGAAAGCCUGAUGCAGCAACGCCGCGUGAGGGACGACGGCCUUCGGGUUGUAAACCUCUUUUAGCAAGGAAGAAGCGAAAGUGACGGUACUUGCAGAAAAAGCGCCGGCUAACUACGUGCCAGCAGCCGCGGUAAUACGUAGGGCGCAAGCGUUAUCCGGAAUUAUUGGGCGUAAAGAGCUCGUAGGCGGUUUGUCGCGUCUGCUGUGAAAACCCGAGGCUCAACCUCGGGCCUGCAGUGGGUACGGGCAGACUAGAGUGCGGUAGGGGAGAUUGGAACUCCUGGUGUAGCGGUGGAAUGCGCAGAUAUCAGGAAGAACACCGAUGGCGAAGGCAGAUCUCUGGGCCGUAACUGACGCUGAGGAGCGAAAGGGUGGGGAGCAAACAGGCUUAGAUACCCUGGUAGUCCACCCCGUAAACGUUGGGAACUAGUUGUGGGGUCCAUUCCACGGAUUCCGUGACGCAGCUAACGCAUUAAGUUCCCCGCCUGGGGAGUACGGCCGCAAGGCUAAAACUUGAAAGGAAUUGACGGGGUCAUAGCUGUUUCCU